GCAGGGCAGGGUCCGGUGGGCCCCCUGGCAGGGGUCCCCGAAUAUCCAGACGCUGGAGGGGCGCACAAACCACCCCCACCCAGCCCCGCCGGCGCUUGGGGACACACCCGCCCCACGGCAGGCAGGCUCAGAUGAGCACAGACGCGCCCCCACAGAGGCACCCGGCGGCCCCCCUGUAGGAUCACGCCCACGCCCGUCAUAGCGAACCAAAACAAUCACACGCUCACACACAAACACCCCCCGCCCCCGCCCCGCGCAGAUCCAGACAGUCGCAAAGCUCACCGCCACAGCAGGGCUGAUCCACGCAGGCAUACAGAUUCGCGGAAGAAUCGCGAAGAUGAAAUGGAGUUCUCAAAUACCCUCCUGCAGCUUCUCCUGCUGUUAACUCACUACACAACUGGGGUGUGUUUUUCAUCACUAAGAAAUAGACGUUGGUCAAGAGUGUUGACCGAAAUUCAGACGUCCCCAGCUUACCCACUCACGUCCAGUCCAGGCUCCGUAUCGCACCUGGUCAGCUGGUCUUCUCGUGUCCCCCACUCUGGGACGGCUCUUCUGUCGUCCCUUGUCCUUCAUGACUUUGACCUUUAUGAAGAACACUGCCCAGUUACUCUG